rnacentral:rRNA from 1 species
CACGUAGGAGGCGAGCGUUGUCCGGAAUCAUUGGGCGUAAAGAGCGCGCAGGCGGCUUGGCAAGUCGGGUGUGAAAUCCCGGGGCUCAACCCCGGGACUGCAUUCGAUACGGGCAGGCUAGAGUGUGGUAGGGGAGAUCGGAAUUCCUGGUGUAGCGGUGAAAUGCGCAGAUAUCAGGAGGAACACCGGUGGCGAAGGCGGAUCUCUGGGCCAUUACUGACGCUGAGGAGCGAAAGCGUGGGGAGCGAACAGG